rnacentral:rRNA from 1 species
CCUACGGGUGGCAGCAGUGGGGAAUAUUGGACAAUGGGGGCAACCCUGAUCCAGCCAUGCCGCGUGUGUGAAGAAGGCCCUCGGGUUGUAAAGCACUUUCAGUGAGGAAGAACGCCUGGUGGUUAAUACCCAUCAGGAAAGACAUCACUCACAGAAGAAGCACCGGCUAACUCCGUGCCAGCAGCCGCGGUAAUACGGAGGGUGCGAGCGUUAAUCGGAGUUACUGGGCGUAAAGCGCGCGUAGGUGGCUUGAUAAGCCGGUUGUGAAAGCCCCGGGCUCAACCUGGGAACGGCAUCCGGAACUGUCAAGCUAGAGUGCAGGAGAGGAAGGUAGAAUUCCCGGUGUAGCGGUGAAAUGCGUAGAGAUCGGGAGGAAUACCAGUGGCGAAGGCGGCCUUCUGGACUGACACUGACACUGAGGUGCGAAAGCGUGGGUAGCAAACAGGAUUAGAUACCCGUGUAGUC